UAAUACAUUUAAGCUGGCAGUCUAAUUUAUUCAGAUGUUUGUGUGAACUAGUCUCCCCAAGCUUUAUUACCAGUAGAUAAACUUUUAAAAAAGUCCCUGAACCUGUGCUUUAGCCAUAUAUCAGGCCCGACCCUGUUGUCUAACAUAAUAUACUACUAAUUGAAGCAAUCCAUUAGCUGGUCAUAUACAAAUUAACAUCAAGUCAUAAGGAAAUAUGAUUCUUCUUGGUAUCUUACAGGCUGAUUUUGAUGAUGGAAAUUAUCUACCUUGUGCUAAUCAAGUCAAGGGCAUAUAUGAAGUGUUCAUAAUACAUUUCCAGGGAAUUCUAAAUAACACAAGACUUAACUUCACUAAUAGCUCUAUGAGCAAAACAGUAAGAUCCAGGAACACACCAGACAGUUUUGUUUGCCUUGAAACAAAAAACCUGGGUUCAAGUUCCUGCUCUAACAUCGACAGGUCUGUAACCUGAACACCUAACGCAGCGCUCGCACUACCACCAGCUGGGUGCCCUCAGCAAGUCAUUUAACAUCUCUGAGACAUGUAUCUUCAUCCGUAAAGAAGGGAUUAUACAUACAUAUAGGUAAUUACAAGGGGUAAUCAUGUUUCAGAUAUUAUGGGAGCCACUUUUCCCCCUGAAAAAUUAUGUCACAUAUCCUGGUGAUCUUCCCUUCAUUUUCUCAUUCUUGGUAAAUCAGUAAAAAUACCAAAGAAAAAUUUGGGGCACCUGGAUGGCUCAGUUAAGCAUCUGACUCUUGAUUUCAGCUCAGGUAAUGAUCUCAGGGUUGUGAGACUGAGCCCCAUGUCAGGCUCUGCACUGGGCAUGGAGCCUGCUUAAGAUUCUCUCCCGCUUUCCUUCUGCCUCUCCCCUCUAAAAAAAAAAAAAAAAAGGAAAUUCUGUUUCAAUUGUAGAGGCAUUUUUUAUCUACCAUUUUUUUUAGUGGGGUAUAAAAAAUAAAACAGUUUUACUUAAUUUUAACAAAGUAUCUCAUAUAGACCCAAAAUUAACAAAGACAUCAAAACUUAAUUUUGCCACAUUUAAGAAUAUUUUUGAAGAAAUAAAAAUUAAAGGUACCUAUGUGCCUUUCCCUCCUAUAGAGAACCUCUGUCCUGAAUUUUGUAUUUAUAAUUCCCAAACCUGUUUUUAAACCUUUAUUUUUUGUUUUAGAGAUUUUAUUUUUAAGUAAUUUCUAUACCCAAUGUGAGGCUCGAACUUACAACCCCAAGAUCAAGAGUCACAUGGUCCAGUGAAUGAGCCAGCCAGCACCCCUUUUAAAUGAAUAUAUUCAUAAACCACACAGUAUUGUCUUACAUUAAUAACGUACAUAUAAGAAACAUAAUACGCCAUUUAACUUGCCUUUUUUUUUUUUAAAUCACCAAAUUCUUGAUUCACUUAAUGCUGGCUUAUUCAUUUUAACUGUACAGCAUUCCAUUAAAUGAAUAUAGCACAAUUUACCCAUUUUUAUGUCACACUUUAUUUCCAAAUUUCAUUAUUAUAAACAAUAGUGUGAUGAACAUUCUUCCAUGUCUCUCUGGCAAAUAUGUAGGAAUGUUUACAGGGCAUCUAUAUGUGUGUGUAUAUAUAUCCUAGUGGAAUUGCUGGUUCAUAGGGGUAUGCACACGUUUAAUUUUAGUAAAUGAAUAUUGCUAAGUUGCCCUCAUAAUGAUUAUAUCAAUUUAUACUCCAGAAGAUGGUACCUGAGAGUUCUAUGUUGUUUUUCAACAUCCUCACCAACAUCUGAUAUUCAGACCUCUAAAAUGUUACCACCUUGACUGAUGCAAAUUAUAACCUGAUUUUGACCCUGUUGAUCCUAAUUGUUGAAGAACUUUGAUUCCCUGACAUUAUUAUCUUCUACUUCUCCUAACCUUUUGAUAAUAAUUUCUUGGUCUCUUUUGCUAGCUUCUCUUCCUCUACCCACUUCUCUUGGCAUUUGCAAGUCAUCGUCUUUGUUUAUUCCUUUCUGAGCAGUCUUGUCCAGGCUACACUACUCACAACUAAUUCUUCAAAAUCUGUAAGUCACCUCUCUUCUAAAUUUUAGACCCGUAUGCCUGGCUGCCUACUAAUCUUAUGGGACUUACAUGUCCUAUAAACACCUAAAAUUCAUUCUGAAAAGACCUCUCUUUUCCCCUCAAUUUCUUCUUCCCAGCUCUCACUGUUUAAUGAUACUGUCAAAGACAAAGUGUUUCAUGCCUAAACCCUGGACAUCAUUAACUUUUACUUCUCCAUGCACUGUCUUCUCCCCUCCAUCAAGUCAGCUGAUCUAGGUACUACCUUUUUUUUUAGGUUUUUAUUUAUUUGAGAGACAGAGAGACUGAGAGAACAAGUGGGGGGAGGGGCAGAGGGAGAACAGACUUCCUGCAGAGCAGGGAGCCCGACAUGGGACUCGAUUCCAGGACCCUGGAAUCAUGACCUGAGCUGAAAGCAGAUGCUUAACCGACUGAGCCACCCAGGCACCCGGUAGGUCCCACCUUCUUAACAUCUCUUGUAUCUUGCUCUCCUCCCCAUACUUACUGUUGUUGUCCUUACCACUUUUUGUGAGAGGUUAUAGUGAUCAGAAGCAAGCACUUUGGAGUUAGACACACCUGGUCUUGAAUGCAGAUUUUUAUCACUUAUAAACUGUGUCACCAUAAGCAAAUUAUGAUCCUCAAGUUUUCUGUUAAAUGGGAACGAUAAUUAUGUCAUGUGGUCUCUUCAAGGAUUAAAUGAGCGAACAAAUGCAAAGUGCUCGCUACAUUGCCCAGCACAUAGAAAGAACUCAGUGACAGCUAUUCUUCAUUAGCUCAACUUGAGUGUUGUGAUUAGUUUUGGUGCCUCCAAUCUUUCUCCCCGCCCUCAUGAUCACAUUGCUAGAAUUCUCUCAGGUACCCUUCCCUAUUUCUUCAAUAACCGUCCUGUUUACACAAAGCUAAAUCAAGUCUUUUAGUAAGUCAUCUAACACACUUUAAUCUGAGCCCUAGCCUCAUUUCCUAGAUUCUAUUCUCACUAGUUUACAUAGUCCCUGAAUAUAUGUUUCAUGUAUCUGUGCCUUUAGGUACAUGCUACCUAUUAUCUAAGAAACUGGUCUUUAUCUUUCCAAGCUCUAGUGAAUAUUCUGUCAAGCUUUCCUAGUCCAUCCAAAAAGAAAUGAGUACUGACUCUAGGGGUUUAUAAACUGCUGCUGCACUCAUUUCUUGAUUCGUCUGUCUCCUUUACUAGCCUGUAAAAAAUGUGAGAGCGGGCGCCUGGGUGGCUCAGUUGGUUAAGCGACUGCCUUCGGCUCAGGUCAUGAUCCUGGAGUCCCGGGAUCGAGUCCCACAUCGGGCUCCCUGCUCAGCAGGUUGUCUGCUUCUCCCUCUGACCCUCCCCCAUCUCAUGUGCUCUCUCUCUCUCUCAUUCUCGCUCUCUCAAAUAAAUAAAAUCUUUAAAAAAAAAUGUGACAGCAAGGACUAUGUCAUCUAUUCCCAAUAUGAAGUACAAUUCCUGGGGGGUAGUAGGCAUUCAUUAACUACUGGAUAGAUAGAAGGAAGGACACUGGGACUGGCCUAAUUCCACAUCUUCUAAAUAACUUUAAACUGCAGCAUCAAGAAAUCAUCAAGUUGCAUAACACUAGUGAAAGUUUCCAUGAAUGUCAAAAUGAUCAUUGAAGGAUGGAGGUAUUACAGGUGGUUUUCUCUACUGUGAGAAAAAGCAAAACAAUGUAAAGUUCUCCCAAGUGUGAAGUAAAAUACUAGGGAAAAAAACAAAAAAACUGAGCUGUAUCUAGGAAAAGAUUAUAAACUAUUUCCUGAAUAUGCUGGCCCCAUGUACUGCAGUCAACAAAUAAGGAUAACCAAGUCGAAUACUGACAAAACAGAAAAGAACAUCCUUUUGCAAAUAUAAGUAUAAUGAAUGCUUACCAUGUGUCAGGCCUUGUGCUAAUCACUUUCUACACAGUAUCUAUGUUACUUAAUCCUUCCAACGACUAUGAACUAGAAAUUCUUAUUAUCUUGCCUAAGGGAUCUGAACCAGGAGUUAAACCUAGUUCUGUCUCACCUAAAAGCUUAUGUUCUCAACUACAUCACACUAUUGUACCAAGCCACAAAGUGGGCAUUUAGUCACAAGAUCAGAGAAAAGUAACUAACACAUAAGGCCAGGCUUCUAUGUGAAGAGACGAAAACAAUUUAGAUUUUCCAGUUUGCAAAGGUGAGGGAAGAUCAUCCAUCUCUAUGAACUCAAGAAUGGCGACGAACAGUAUUAAAACCAGACUCAUUUAUCAAAUCCUUUAACCAGCCAAGAACAAGCUAGACAGAAUUGAGGCUUGUCUAUAAAACAAUUCCUUUUUUACUAAAGAAAAACACUAGAUUGGAUAGAUUUGGGCUAUCUACCCAGAAUAUUAUUUCAACAGACCUCACAAAGCAGGUUAUGGUUUGAUACAGGAUUGUGUACUAUGUAAAUCUCCUUUCCUGGUUCUACACUAACAGGCCAACAUUUAGCUUUGAAUUCUAAGAAUCAUGGUUCCUUUCACACCUGAGAUCUGUAAUAGUAACCCACUUGUUUAUAUAAAAUGCAGUCCUUCAGGGGCAGGUAUUUGAUUGGGGGUUCGGUAUGUAUGGAUUUCCAGGGGGUACUAUCUAGUACCCCUUCUUAUUUAAAAGCCUAUGCUUUGCUUUGGUCCUCAUCCACUCAAAAACUCAAGCAUCUAUCCAUGGCAAUUAUGUUUUAUGAGUUGCUUCGAUGGAGACAAGUUACCAGGACAUCCAACCAAACUAUGAAGUGAUUUUUU
ensembl:lncRNA